ACCCCUCCAGUUCAAUCCCUGGGUCGGGAAGAUCCCCUGGAGAAGGAAAUGGCAACCCACUCGGUAUUCUUGCCUGGGAAGUCCCAUGGACUGAGGAGCCUGGCGGGCUACAGUCCAUGGGGUCACAACUCAACUUCAAGACUAAACGGCAACAGGAGCCUAAGCUUUCUCAGAGGCGCCCAAAGAAGGUAACGCAUUGAUGGCCUGAUUGUGUUUCUACCACGACUUGCAACCCAAGAUGCAGCCCAGCCUCUGAAAAGCCCAUUGUUCCGUGCAGCGAUGUUAUAACUCUCUGUAAACGGGGCAGUCCAGGGCACUCAGCGCUGCCCGCUCCACCCCAUUGGUGACCUGCAGGGACAGCUGAAUGCCUUCUGGUCCGCUGAGCCCAGAGGAGUGGGGCUGGGCUUUCAGAAACAGCAGGGCUGAUUCAUCGAGAACAAAAGCCAGCUCUUCCUGCUAAAUCCCUGGCCAUCAAGGGCGGCGAGGCCAGCAGGCCCCUGAGCCCCUCCGCAGAAACUCCUUCUUCAUCCGGCUACCGCUGUGGGGCUCCACAGCAGGAGAGCCAGCUUCCCACUGCCCCGUCCCUUCAGCCUGGCCUGCUCUCAGAACCCCCCGGGAAGCAGUGGCUUGGGAGUGAAAUCUGGAUUCUCGUCCUGGUCCUGCCAUUUCCCAGCGGUGCAAUGAAAAUAAGAAACUUCACUUCUCUGAGCCUCAGUUUCUCCAUCUGUGAACUGGGAGUGAAAAUAGUUCCAGCCGGAGGAACUGGUGUCAGAUUUGAAGGAGAUAAUGCCCAGAACAGGAACCUACGACUCUUUGUCCUCUUGCUAUCUGGCGUCAUCUUUCAUAACUCAGUCUGGUACCUUGCAUUCCAGACACGUGGGCACGAGCUCACCCAUCUUAGCUCCUCCACGUCAUUACCUGUAGGCUUCCCAGAACGAUACCAGCUUCUGUUUACAGAGGCCCUGCUAUGCCCCAGGCCUUGCAGCUAGCAGUUAACAUGGAUAAUUUCACUUCAUUUUCCCACCACUCUUUGAGG
ensembl:lncRNA